rnacentral:rRNA from 1 species
GGAGUCUGGUCCGUGUCUCAGUACCAGUGUGGGGGACCUUCCUCUCAGAACCCCUACUGAUCGUUGGCCAGGUGGGCCGUUACCCCCGCCCUGCAACCUAAUCAGACGCAUCCCCACUCCCACUAGCGGUAAACCUUUAUUCCUCCUUAGAUGCCUGCAAAGGAAAACAUAGGGUAUUAAUCCGCAUUUCUACGGGCUAUGCCCUACUAUGGGGAAGG